rnacentral:rRNA from 1 species
UACAGAGGUCUCAAGCGUUGUUCGGAUUCAUUGGGCGUAAAGGGUGCGUAGGCGGCGCGGUAAGUCGGGUGUGAAAUCUCGGAGCUUAACUCCGAAACUGCAUUCGAUACUCCCGGGCUGGAGGCAGGUAGGGGAGAUCGGAAUUCCUGGUGUAGCGGUGGAAUGCGCAGAUAUCAGGAAGAACACCAACGGCGAAGGCAGCUCGCUGGGACGGUACUGACGCUGAGACGCGAAAGCGUGGGGAGCGAACAGG